rnacentral:rRNA from 1 species
UACGUAGGGUCCGAGCGUUGUCCGGAAUUAUUGGGCGUAAAGAGCUCGUAGGCGGUUUUGUCGCGUCUGCUGUGAAAAUCCAGGGCUUAACCCUGGACCUGCAGUGGGUACGGGCAGACUAGAGUGCGGUAGGGGAGAUCGGAAUUCCUGGUGUAGCGGUGAAAUGCGCAGAUAUCAGGAGGAACACCGGUGGCGAAGGCGGAUCUCUGGGCCAUUACUGACGCUGAGGAGCGAAAGCGUGGGGAGCGAACAGG